CGGCGAGAACCCUUCCUUAGGAUCUCGUUCAGCUCUGACAGCAUCCUUCCUCACCAUCUCGCUCGGCUCCGGUAGCACAGGACUGUCGGAUGCGACAACUCCGUCAUCGAUUCCGUUCUCUAUUACCGUUCUCAGCAGGAGCUGACCCGAACGGAGACGAGCUGGAGUAGUUCGGCCUCAGAUCUUGGAAUCCAAACGACAAACCCAUCGCCGCGUCGUCCAGUUCCGGCAACCUGACGGUCCGGCGAUGCUAGGUGAGGAGGUUGAAGACGAAGCUUCAAAGGACGAGAUCGAGAGCGCAAAGAGCUCUCAACUGCCUGAGAUUCAUCGGCACCAUCUUCCUCAUCACUAGAUCGCAACCACUUUAGCUUCAUCUAC
rnacentral:lncRNA from 1 species